AAUUAAUGAGCUUGUUAUUAAGCAUUUGUUUUGAAAACUUAAAAAAGAGUAAUACUAUUCUAUUAAUUU
rnacentral:tRNA from 1 species